GGCCAGGCUGGUCUUGAACUCCUGACCUCAAGUGAUUCACUCCCCUCAGCCUCCCAAACUGUUGGGAUUACCUGUGUCAGCCACUGUGCCCGGCUCCUUGCUGUUUUUAUACUUUCUCUAUAUACAUAACUAUUUCCCAUGUAAGUUUUUUUUUUAAAUUUCUCAUUUUUAUUACUCCUGCAUCAUCUGUUACGCUGAAGGAUCUGGAAGUAAGAGGCCCUGGGCCGAGGUGCAGUGACUCUGCAGGCCAGCCCUCCAACCUCCUCUCACAGUGGGGGCUGGGUGACCCUCUGCCAGCUGAGACAGCCCACACACACCCCAGCCCUAAUGAUUGUUCUCUCUACCUCUCCCCACAAUCCUCUUCCAACUCCUCCUCUCUGCAUGUGCCUCAGAGCCAGUACCAAGAACUAGCAGUAGCCCUGGAGUCAAGCUCUGUGACAAUCAAUCAACUCAAUGAAAACAUAGAAUCAUUGAAACAGCAGAAGAAACAAGUGGAACAUCAGCUGGAAGAAGUAACGUGAUUUCUUUGCUCACAACAUGACUGCUGGGUUUGGGGGACACUCAGAUGCAGAGGCGCCAGUCUCAUCUUGCCCACUCCCAGCCUGGGGAAGAAGGCUCACCCCUCAGAUUCCACCCCAUCCCCAUAGGGUCCCUGAUAACCUGGUCCCAUGGGUGGGCCUGUCCUGGGACAUUGGUGGCAUUCUGGGGGCAUGCCUCUUGCUGUGCCAUCUCGGCCUCCCUGUGGUAAGAGCUCUGUCUUCCUCUUCCUAUAGGCAAAGAAAGCAAACAGUGAAAUACACAAAGCACAAACGGAGCAGUUAGAGGUGAGUGGGGGAUGGGGAGCUUUCUCCUGUCCUCUGGAGAAUGUUUCUUUCCUUCCCUUUCAGCACUUGCUUGGCUUUUCUCCCAAACAUUCAAUUCCAGACAAUCAACAUCCUCACAUUGGAAAAGGCAGACUUGAAGACCACCCUUUACCAUACUAAACGUGCUGCCAGACACUUCGAAGAAGAGUCCAAGGAUCUGGCUGGCCGCCUGCAAUAUGCCUUACAGCGUAUUCAAGAAUUGGAG
rnacentral:lncRNA from 1 species